rnacentral:rRNA from 1 species
AUGAACGCUAGCUACAGGCUUAACACAUGCAAGUCGAGGGGCAUCAGGAAGAAAGCUUGCUUUCUUUGCUGGCGACCGGCGCACGGGUGAGUAACACGUAUCCAACCUGCCCUUUACUCGGGGAUAGCCUUUCGAAAGAAAGAUUAAUACCCGAUGGCAUAAUGAUUCCGCAUGGUUUCAUUAUUAAAGGAUUCCGGUAAAGGAUGGGGAUGCGUUCCAUUAGGUUGUUGGUGAGGUAACGGCUCACCAAGCCUUCGAUGGAUAGGGGUUCUGAGAGGAAGGUCCCCCACAUUGGAACUGAGACACGGUCCAAACUCCUACGGGAGGCAGCAGUGAGGAAUAUUGGUCAAUGGGCGCUAGCCUGAACCAGCCAAGUAGCGUGAAGGAUGAAGGCUCUAUGGGUCGUAAACUUCUUUUAUAUAAGAAUAAAGUGCAGUAUGUAUACUGUUUUGUAUGUAUUAUAUGAAUAAGGAUCGGCUAACUCCGUGCCAGCAGCCGCGGUAAUACGGAGGAUCCGAGCGUUAUCCGGAUUUAUUGGGUUUAAAGGGAGCGUAGGUGGACUGGUAAGUCAGUUGUGAAAGUUUGCGGCUCAACCGUAAAAUUGCAGUUGAUACUGUCAGUCUUGAGUACAGUAGAGGUGGGCGGAAUUCGUGGUGUAGCGGUGAAAUGCUUAGAUAUCACGAAGAACUCCGAUUGCGAAGGCAGCUCACUGGACUGCAACUGACACUGAUGCUCGAAAGUGUGGGUAUCAAACAGGAUUAGAUACCCUGGUAGUCCACACAGUAAACGAUGAAUACUCGCUGUUUGCGAUAUACAGUAAGCGGCCAAGCGAAAGCAUUAAGUAUUCCACCUGGGGAGUACGCCGGCAACGGUGAAACUCAAAGGAAUUGACGGGGGCCCGCACAAGCGGAGGAACAUGUGGUUUAAUUCGAUGAUACGCGAGGAACCUUACCCGGGCUUAAAUUGCAGUGGAAUGAUGUGGAAACAUGUCAGUGAGCAAUCACCGCUGUGAAGGUGCUGCAUGGUUGUCGUCAGCUCGUGCCGUGAGGUGUCGGCUUAAGUGCCAUAACGAGCGCAACCCUUAUCUUCAGUUACUAACAGGUCAUGCUGAGGACUCUGGAGAGACUGCCGUCGUAAGAUGUGAGGAAGGUGGGGAUGACGUCAAAUCAGCACGGCCCUUACGUCCGGGGCUACACACGUGUUACAAUGGGGGGUACAGAAGGCAGCUAGCGGGUGACCGUAUGCUAAUCCCAAAAUCCUCUCUCAGUUCGGAUCGAAGUCUGCAACCCGACUUCGUGAAGCUGGAUUCGCUAGUAAUCGCGCAUCAGCCACGGCGCGGUGAAUACGUUCCCGGGCCUUGUACACACCGCCCGUCAAACCAUGGGAGCCGGGGGUACCUGAAGUACGUAACCGCAAGGAUCGUCCUAGGGUAAAACUGGUGACUGGGGCU